AUUUCUUCCACAUGUGAGAGGUCUUCAUGGUUGAACUUCUCUUUAUUUUGACAUGUGACCACUUCUAAUUAGCCAUGGACCCAUUCACGCCUUGGACUCAAUCUAAUUGACACUGAGGAGGCUAACCCAUUGUGAAUCAAAUCACUUAUUGCAGGGACUCAAUCUAAUUUCAGCUUGGACUCAACUGUUCUUGGACUCAAAUUCUCUUCACCCCUCA
rnacentral:lncRNA from 1 species